rnacentral:rRNA from 1 species
CAGCAGCCGCGGGAAUACGUAGGUCCCGAGCGUUGUCCGGAUUUACUGGGCGUAAAGCGAGCGCAGGCGGUUAGAUAAGUCUGAAGUUAAAGGCUGUGGCUUAACCAUAGUACGCUUUGGAAACUGUUUAACUUGAGUGCAGAAGGGGAGAGUGGAAUUCCAUGUGUAGCGGUGAAAUGCGUAGAUAAAUGGAGGAACACCGGUGGCGAAAGCGGCUCUCUGGUCUGUAACUGACGCUGAGGCUCGAAAGCGUGGGGAGCGAACAGGAUUAGAUACCCCGGUAGUCCCUGUCUCUUAUACC